UACGUAGGGACCAAGCGUUGUUCGGAUUUACUGGGCGUAAAGGGCGCGUAGGCGGCAAUUCAAGUCAGCUGUGAAAUCUCCGGGCUUAACUCGGAACGGCCAGCUGAUACUGUUUUGCUAGAGUGCAGAAGGGGCAAUCGGAAUUCUUGGUGUAGCGGUGAAAUGCGUAGAUAUCAAGAGGAACACCUGAGGUGAAGACGGGUUGCUGGGCUGACACUGACGCUGAUGCGCGAAAGCCAGGGGAGCAAACGGG
rnacentral:rRNA from 1 species